rnacentral:lncRNA from 1 species
CAAGGCCUGAAUGCUAUGCCCAGUCUAGUAACAGCUGGGCUGGAAGUCACGGCAUAUGGGGGCCUUAAGGAAUAACAGUGUGCGUGGUGGUGUGCAGGAGAGCUGCAAGGGCUUUUCUUUCUUGAGGAGGUUUGUAAAAUUUCUGCUGUUCAGUCUGGGCUUCUGGGAAGUCAGGGGGUGCUGCAUAUAAAGGGCAGGAAAAGGAGCCUGACUCCAAUUGCUCUUUGGUUUCUUCCCUGAAUGGAAGGCUCAAAAUCAAGUUUCCACCCAGAUAAGAUCUUGAGGUCCUAGUGGACCACCAGCUCUACUCCUGAGCUCUUGAAAUACCUCUAAUCACCAGCUCGGUGGCUGAGAGUACCUUCUUGUCCACUGCCUCUUCUUUUCCUUCUCGUCUUCACUUAUCCCCCAUCCAACUUCUGCCCGAUAAUAUCUCCCCUGUAUUGUAAACUGAGGAGAAAGUUGCACAAUUGUAGAGAUGAAAAAUAGCUGCCAUGUAUUUAGCUUAAAUUAGCUCAGAAGAAAGGCUCCCUCCCUCCAUUGAGCGGGCAGCACUUGUUUAUGCCAACAUGCUAUUUGCAUCGCGCCUUCUUAAAUUUGAAAGUCUAAUGAUUAAAAACAAAUCUUAGUUUUUCUUUUCCACCACUUAAAAAAAAAAAACCAGCUUGGCUAGUUCUUCUAGUUUAAAAAUACCCUGACCUCCAGCACUACAGUGAGAAUUUUGGAAAGGCUGGUACCAGGAUAUCAGGAGGAAAUAAAUACAGGCCAACAAUAACCAGAGGCCUUUUCUGAGUGGUGGGCGACAGGAUGAACAAGGUAGAAGAGAGGUCUUUGUGUCCUCACACAGAUGCUGGCAUUCUGGGUUUGUCUGGAAUUCAGUGAACCUCUGUCCUCUCUGACAGAGAUUUCUUCACCAACCAUUCAUUCAGUGGGUGAUUUGUUGAGCAUCUACUAUGUGUUAGACCCUGGGCAUUCAGUGAUGAGUGAUACAAUGUCUCACCUGUUCUGAAGCCUAAAGCCCAAUGGGGAAGAGAGACAAGAAGCAAGUCAACCACAAAUAUAUAAAUUUGCAACUCAUGUAGAUCUAUGGAAAGAAAACUCACGGGGGACCAGAAACAUGGGAGAGGGUAUACUGUGGGAGAGCUGCUGACAAAGGUCUUUCUGAGGAGGUGACAUUUAAGUCAAGAUCUAAAGGAAGAGAAGGAUAAAGAGAUGUUCAUUCUAAGCCAGGGUUUCUCAACCUCAGUACUGUUGAGCUAUUUGGGGCCAGAUAAUUCUUUGAGGUGGCGACUGUCCUGGGCAUUGGAGGAUGUUAAGCAGCUUCCUCAACUCUCCCCACAAGAUACCAGUAGCACCUGGUACUGGUGACAUCCAAAAACAUCCCCAGACACACCCUGACUUUGCUGUCUGGAAUCAAUCCUCAUAAAGCCCCAAGCCUUGGAGCACAGAGGCUGGAAGCCCAUAUGGUGGCAUGUCAGGCAUGGUGUCACCUGAGCUUCUCUGACCCCCACUUCUGAUAUGGCAUCCAGUUUGGAGUCUCUGUUCUCCAUGAGCUCCCAUAGCUGUCCCAUAUUCCACAAGGCAUUGCUUCUGGGCCACGGUCCUCUAGUUCCAGCAUAGCCCUAUUUUUGGGUAUGUUGGUGGAUUUCAAAAGCCUCCAGUUGACAUCCAAAGUGUGACAUCCAAAACCAUCUCCAGACAUUGCCAGAUGUCCCCUGAGUUGUCUCCAGGCCACGCGACUAGGAUUCAAAUCCAGCAUCCUGCCAUCUGCAACCUUCCAUGGGAGAAAGGAAAUCAGAGGAGAACAGGAAAACACAAGGAGGGGACUCCUUAAGUGAACAUUGCAGGGAAAUAGGUUUUUAAAGCACUAGUUAGCAUCACCAGUGGUUUGAAGGCUGUCUAGGUAAGGAGAAUGUGGACUUGCCUUUCACCGUCUGCACGGACAGGGGCUGAAAUCUCCAGUCAUUCUCUCCAUCCUUCCACAGCCCUUCUAAGAAGCAGAUCCUCUUGCUGAGCUGAAAUCUUGAGACUUGCAUCCGGCAAUCUUGGUGUUGCUUUCUGAGGCUACUCAGGGAAAGCCCUUCUGUAUUCCCCAGGAAGGAAAGUCUCCCAGAUAGUGAAGGGCCUUUUCUACCUUCCUUGCAAUUCCCAGUUCACUGUGAAGAAGAGAGUCAGGCCGGGUUAGAAUGGCUGUCUCUGGUAGCAAUGAAGCAACAACAUAGACAGUCUGGACAAGAUGUGGCAGUUCUGUCCAGUCCCGUGUGACUGAUUUGGGCAUGGAGACAGGCAGUGGGUGAGGAUGGCCUCUGUAGGUCCAGCUGUUUUACCCCUAGAAUCAAAUCCCUGGAGCUUCCGGCAGUCCCAGGAUUGGGAAGGGUAACAGAGAGGACGAGUCGGGCACUGCAAAAGACCAGAUCUUGGAAAAUUGCUUUGGGAAUUGGGACACCUUCCAAGAAGACAGUUGAGUUGGCUGGGGCUCUGCCCUAGAUGGGGUCAACCUCUCCCCAACACAGCCCUGCCCAGGUUGGGGCAUUGGCAGCUUAAGUGCGUCCUGGACAACAAAUGUAAUGUAUUGGUCCUGUAAGAUUCUAGCCAUUUUCCUCUGCUUAUUUUUCUACAUGUGUUACAAGUAAUAAUGUUUAGAUGGGUACAUAUGAACUUGUGUAAGUUCAAGUAACUGCUAUGUAGCUACAGCAUGGGCAUCAAGGUACUCUAAGGUACUUGCCCUGCCACACCGAGGCCCCCUGCCCCGGCCCCCUUUCCCUCCUAGCCAGCCUUCUAGGGAGCACUGCACACCCUGCCCCUUCAAAGCUAUCUGGACAGUCCUGGCUCGACUGGAGCAUUAAGGGAGGGGCUGUCCUUGGUCAGGCUUCUGCCCAACUGUGUGAUGCAUAAAUCUUUGCCUGGCUCCUUCUUCCUUCUUUUCGGAAGUCUAUCUCCUCCUGAGGGCCUCUGCGGUCCUAACCUAUCAAGGAAUAUCAUAGAUUGUACUCCCCACCCCAUCAAAACACACCCUGACUUUGCGUCUGGAAUCAAUCCUCAUAAAGCCCCAAGGCUUGGAGCACAGAGGCCAGAAGCCCAUAUGGUGGCAUGUCAGGCAUGCUGUCACAUGAGCUUCUCUGACUCCACUUCCAAGAUGGCAUCCAAUUUGGAGUCUCUGUUCUCCAUGAGCUCCCAUAGCUGUCCCAUAUUCCACAAGGCACUGCUUCUGGGCCCCGGUCCUCUAGUUUCCUCAUAGCCCUAUUUUUGGGUACAUUGGUGGAUUUCAAAUGCCUACAGUUGAGCAGCCGAAGGAUUCUAAGAAAAUUUUGCUUGUAUUUCAAAGGCUCAUGUCCCCAGCCCCAUUCACUACACCCUCAGCAGAGCCCAGCGUGGAGCAACCUUGUCCCUUCAUUCCCCAAAUCUUCAUUUUAUAUAGUCAUUUAGUAAAUAUUUGUUAAGUGCCUCCUGUGAUUCUGGAAAAAAUGGAGAAAAGUGGGUGCUGCCUUCAGGGUACUAGGAGUCCGAUGAAGAGAGGGAGGAGUUCCAGUAGGGUCCCGAGGCCCCACAGGAGCUCCCAACCCAGAGAAAGACCCUCCAGGAAGGAUUCUCAGAGGAGGAGACUUCUGAACCCUGUCUUGAAAUUUGAGUAGAAUGGUAGGGAACGGUGUGUCAGACAGAAGGAACAGCCUAUGUGUGGACUCAGAGGCAAGAUCAUGAUUUAUUGAGGGUAACUGCAAGUGGCUAAAAUCCUGCCCCCUGGCACUUGCCUGCCUUUCCCUGCUUUCCCCAAAGCCUGAUUUUGGGACCCUGGAGUCUCCAUCUCCAAACAGAGGGUGCCCUGGCUCAGAUGUGGAGACCUUGACUUCUUUCCCCAGCAUGCUCUGGUUCCUACUGUUAGCCUUGGUGUCCUGUGGGGGAAGAUGUCUGAGGAGAGUUUUGUGCUUGCUGGAGUCAGACCAGUACUCAGGCCACCUCAGGCCUGCUCUGCAUCCCUCUCUGGCUCUACAGACCUCUCUCUCUCUCUCUCUCUCUCUCUCUCUCUCUCUCUGUCUGUCUGUCUCUGUGUCUGUCUCUGUCUCUGCCUGCCUCCACACAGUGAAGGAUGUGUCUCUAUUUCUUAGUGCCCUGCAUUGGGUCCUGAAGUCCAUGGGCAUCUUGGCUAUAGAUGGGUUGGCCAUGAGCCCUUCUCUCUAAUGCAUUUUUCAUUCCUGUUCCUCUUUUGCUUCACUUUCCCUCUAUCGACUCUUGCGACCUGUGUCUCUGAUGUCUCUGGGGCCCCCAGUUCUGUCUUGCCAUACCAAAAAACCUUCUUCAGCAAAAAACCUCUUUCUGGGACAGUUCAUAUCACUCUAUGAAUAGGCCCCUGAAGUGUUGAGGUCAAGGACAUGUGUGAACGUGGAAAUGUAUUUAUGGAAAGACCCUACACUGAGGGUCUCUAACUAAACAUUUCAGGUAUGAUGGGCAAAAUGCUGGUUUGUUACAGAAAUGACUGAAGAAGACCUAGGGGCCAUAGUGGGCCACAGGCCAAGCCUGCAAUACAGCCUGAAGUGUGGGAAAGAAUGUAUCAGUCCUGUUGAUGGAGUGGUGUGUUUGCUGUCUCUAUAAAUAUGUCAGGGUUUGAAAGACAGAAAACAAAGCAUCUUUGCUGACCGCCAGACUCCCAGGGUAUAUGUGGCUACUGCAAAUUAGCGAGGCUUGUUUAUCUGCUUCAACUUGACUCAAUUUGCAUUUCUUGAGCCACUGUCUAUUGUGGAUAAUGAUUUCAUCAACACUUUCUCAGCAUCAGCAGCCCCUCCAGAGUAUUCCUUGAAUUUUCUUAGCUUUGUGCAACCCACGAGCACUUAAUAUAUCACUAACCCUUGAGUUUAUUGGAGGGAGUGAAUGAAAUAAUGAAUGUCAAUAACGUUACGCAAUACCUGGCACACAGUAGGUGCUUCAUCAAUGUGGCUUUUCUUCUCAAUCACCCAAAUGAACCUCCCCCAGAAUCCCACCUCUAGGGGGACAUUCCUGAAAAAUAAGGGACUAGAAUAGCGAGGUGGUGGGUGUUACCCAUUUAUUUAGAUAUUUGUGUCCUGGUGAACAUGGGGAGGGAUGCCCAAGUGUCAUAAGGACACCCCCUCCCCCCGUCUACAAGGCAGAGGUCUCUUAGGAUGUGAGAGAGUCUCUGGCAAGACCAGCCCCCACCCCACCAAGGCCCUCAUAGAAACAGAACAUUCUUCCUCCCUAUCCCAAAGCAGAAGUUGACUGGGGCAGAUAAGGCAAGUCACAUUACAUCUGUGCCCUUGACCAUACCUGGACCAGGCAGAGAAGAUCCCAGACUUAGGUGGUCAACGUUUCCACCCCAAGCCUCUCAUUUCUCGCUCUCUUUGAGACUUGAUCUUGUACCAGGAUCCACUCGACAGACUUAACGCAUGAUUAAUUUGAUUGAUUACUCUUGAAGUUACUGACCUUAGGAAAAUUCCUCAAUUGUAAAAAGGCUUUCUCUAUAUGUAAAUUAUGCUGUUAUCUUUUUCUAUACACAAAGUAUAUAGACCUAUAAAUAUUAUACAUAUAUAUUAUAUAUAUAAAGACUAAUUCUUGUACAGACCAACGCGGACCGAUGGUCCAUAUUCUUUUCUCCAUGUUUGUUUGUGUCGACUGUUGCAGAGUGAGUUGAUGUAAGAAGGUGGUUUCAUGUUUUCUUUUGGGGGGCCACUUCUUUCUUUUCCUUUCCGUUUCUAUCUCUGUCUGUCUCCGUCUCUGUCUCUCUCUUUCUCACUUGUUGCCAAUGUCUUGUUGCUGAGAAGGAACACUCUAUUCAGAUGCCAUCCAGGAAAGAAAGGCCAGAUGGAUGGAGGGUCCACUGUGUAUAUUUGUACAGAAUCAUUUAUAAAGUUUUCUACACUUCUAAAAAAAGUAUUUCUAACUUGGGCUGUUGGACAGUUUGUGUGCCUCUGAGCCAGCAAGCCUGUUGUUUCUUGUGUUUAGUGCAAUGUUUAGUGAGAAACCAAUGUCUGAAUUAUUUAUGCCAAUAAAAAAUUUGAGAAUUA